rnacentral:tRNA from 1 species
GCCUGGCUGGCUCAGUCCAUGGAGCUUGAGACUCUUGAUCUCAGGGUUGUAAGUUCGAGCCCCACGUUGGGUG